GCGGCGGCGCAGGGGCUGGUACGCGCUGGGCGGCGAGAGCCUCAUGGCGGAGGAAGAGAGCGACCAAGAGGCCGAACGCCUCGGAGAAGAGCUUGUGGCCAUUGUGGAGUCCCCGCUGGGCCCUGUGGGGCUUAGAGCUGCGGGCGACGGCAGAGGCGGCGCUGGCAGCGGCAACUGCGGCGGCGGCGUCGGAAUCAGCAGUCGGGAUUACUGCCGACGCUUCUGUCAGGUGGUUGAAGAUUAUGCUGGAAGAUGGCAGGUCCCUUUGCCACAGCUUCAGGUUCUUCAGACUGCCCUUUGUUGUUUUACAACAGCCAGUGCAUCAUUCCCAGAUGAAUGUGAGCACGUACAGUAUGUUUUGAGUAGCCUUGCUGUGAGUUUCUUUGAGUUGCUGCUGUUCUUUGGAAGAGAUGAGUUUUAUGAAGAGCCCUUAAAGGAUAUUCUUGGAUCAUUCCAGGAAUGCCAGAAUCACCUCCGCAGAUAUGGAAAUGUGAAUCUGGAACUGGUGACUCGAAUCAUUAGAGAUGGUGGCCCAUGGGAAGAUCCAGUGUUGCAAGCUGUCCUUAAAGCUCAGCCAGCAUCUCAGGAGAUAGUGAACAAAUAUUUAAGUUCUGAAAAUCCACUGUUCUUUGAACUACGUGCCAGAUACCUAAUUGCUUGUGAACGCAUACCCGAAGCAAUGGCUCUUAUUAAAUCUUGUAUAAAUCACCCAGAAAUCAGUAAAGACUUAUACUUCCAUCAAGCACUCUUCACAUGUCUGUUUAUGUCACCUGUAGAAGAUCAGCUAUUCCGGGAGCAUUUAUUGAAAACUGAUUGUAAGAGUGGAAUUGAUAUCAUCUGUAAUGCUGAAAAAGAAGGCAAAACUAUGUUAGCCUUGCAACUCUGUGAAUCCUUUCUUAUUCCACAGCUCCAGAAUGGGGAUAUGUACUGUAUCUGGGAGUUGAUUUUCAUAUGGAGUAAACUACAGCUUAAAUCUAAUCCUUCAAAACAAGUUUUUGUAGAUCAAUGCUACCAGCUUUUAAGAACAGCAACUAAUGUGAGAGUCAUAUUUCCUUUCAUGAAAAUCAUCAAAGAUGAGGUAAAUAGGAUAUAUUUGUCCCUUAAAUUUAAAAUUCAGUGACAGUUCACUGAAACUUCAAUCUCUUUUGAUAAAAUUUAUUUGAUUUUAAAAUUGAAGGAAAGGAGGAUUUUAAGGCCACAUUCUCCGUACAUUACAUUCUCCUCUGCCCUAACUCCAAACUCUCAACAUGGGAGGCUGAUUUAUUGUUACUUAAAAUUUAACAUGGAAGCAAUCGCUUCCAUUACAACCUUUUUUCUUAUAAUUAAAUAUUUGUUACUUUCAUAUUAGCCUAAAUCCCAUUUAUAGAAUCUUA
rnacentral:sRNA from 1 species